rnacentral:rRNA from 1 species
CCUACGGGUGGCUGCAGUGGGGAAUAUUAGACAAUGGGGGCAACCCUGAUCCAGCCAUGCCGCGUGUGUGAAGAAGGCCCUCGGGUUGUAAAGCACUUUCAGUGAGGAAGAACGCCUGGUGGUUAAUACCCAUCAGGAAAGACAUCACUCACAGAAGAAGCACCGGCUAACUCCGUGCCAGCAGCCGCGGUAAUACGGAGGGUGCGAGCGUUAAUCGGAAUUACUGGGCGUAAAGCGCGCGUAGGUGGCUUGAUAAGCCGGUUGUGAAAGCCCCGGGCUCAACCUGGGAACGGCAUCCGGAACUGUCAAGCUAGAGUGCAGGAGAGGAAGGUAGAAUUCCCGGUGUAGCGGUGAAAUGCGUAGAGAUCGGGAGGAAUACCAGUGGCGAAGGCGGCCUUCUGGACUGACACUGACACUGAGGUGCGAGAGCGUGGGUAGCAAACAGGAUUAGAUACCCGGGUAGUC